rnacentral:tRNA from 1 species
CAAGUUAGAGCUUGUAUUAAGUAUUUUACUUACACUAAGAUGAAAAUUGUGAAAUUCAAUUUAAUUUGA